rnacentral:rRNA from 1 species
UACGUAGGGUGCAAGCGUUGUCCGGAAUUAUUGGGCGUAAAGAGCUCGUAGGCGGUCUGUCGCGUCUGCUGUGAAAACUCAGGGCUUAACCCUGAGCUUGCAGUGGGUACGGGCAGACUAGAGUGCGGUAGGGGAGACUGGAAUUCCUGGUGUAGCGGUGAAAUGCGUAGAUAUCAGGAGGAACACCGGUGGCGAAGGCGGGUCUCUGGACAGUUCCUGACACUGAGACACGAAGGCCAGGGGAGCAAACGGG